GAUGAAGAACGUAGCGAAAUGCGAAAAGUAAUGUGAAUUGCAGAAUUCAGUGAAUCAUCGAAUCUUUGAACGCACAUUGCGCCCGCUGGUACUCCGGCGGGCACGCCUGUCCGAUCGUCAUUUCAACCCUCAAGCCCUCCUUCGGGAUGGGCCUGGUGUUGGGGCUCGGCCGCCAUCUCCGGCGGCCGUCCCCUAAAUACAGUGGCGGUCACGUCGCGACUCCUUUGCGUAGUAGAAACACCUCGCUCCGGAUAGCAACGCGGUCCACGCCGUAAAAUCCCCAAUUUUCAAUGGUUGACCUCGGAUCAGGUGGGAAUACCCGCUGAACUUAAGCAUAUCAAUAAGCGGAGGA
rnacentral:misc_RNA from 1 species